AUUGAACGCUGGCGGCAGGCUUAACACAUGCAAGUCGAACGAGUGGCGGACGGGUGAGUAAUGCUUGGGAAACUGGCUUAUGGAGGGGGAUAACUACGGGAAACAGUAGCUAAUACCGCAUACCAUCGGAUGAGCCCAAGUGGGAUUAGGUAGUUGGUGGGGUAAAGGCUCACCAAGCCGACGAUCUCUAGCUGGUCUGAGAGGAUGACCAGCAACACUGGGACUGAGACACGGCCCAGAGUCCUACGGGAGGCAGCAGUGGGGAAUAUUGCGCAAUGGGGGCAACCUGACGCAGCCAUGCCGCGUGAGUGAAGAAGGCCUUCGGGUUGUAAAGUUCUUUCGGUAGCGAGGCGUUAACUACAGAAGAAGCACCGGCUAACUCCGGGCCAGCAGCCGCGGUAAUGC
rnacentral:rRNA from 1 species